rnacentral:sRNA from 1 species
GCUGGGCACACUGGCACUGCCUGUAGUUCCAGCUACUGGGAGGCUGAGGCAGGAGGAUCACUUGGGCCCAGGAGUUUGAGACCAAUUUGGGCAAGAUAGAGAGAUCCUGCCUCCA